rnacentral:rRNA from 1 species
CCUACGGGGGGCAGCAGUGAGGAAUAUUGGGCAAUGGGGGCAACCCUGACCCAGCCAUGCCGCGUGAGUGAAGAAGGUCUUCGGAUUGUAAAGCUCUUUCGGACGUGACGAUGAUGACGGUAGCGUCUAAAGAAGCACCGGCAAACUUCGUGCCAGCAGCCGCGGUAAUACGAAGGGUGCGAGCGUUAUCCGGAUUUAUUGGGUUUAAAGGGUGCGUAGGCGGUCUGUUAAGUCAGCGGUAAAAUUGCGGGGCUCAACCCCGUCGAGCCGUUGAAACUGGCAGACUUGAGUUGGCGAGAAGUACG